rnacentral:tRNA from 2 species
GACGAUAGCUCAGUCGGUAGUAGCAUCGCACUUUUAAUGCGGUGGUCGCGGGUUCGAGUCCCGCUCGUCCC